GCCAGGGUGGCUCAGCGGUUGAGCAUCUGCCUUCGGCUCAGAAUGUGAUCCCUGGGGUCUGGGAUCGAGUCCCACAUCAGGCU
rnacentral:tRNA from 1 species